rnacentral:lncRNA from 10 species
CUUUGGUUGGUGCCAAGUAGUUCCAGAGGUGCAUAUAUGAGAGUGGUGGUGGCCAACACAUGGACCGUGAAGGGCAGGACAAAGAACCUUGAGAAGGUCAAGGCAAGACCUCUCUAGCCCCUGCCUGGGUUAGCCCCUGCUCUGGGGAACUGGAAGCUCUGGGCCCAGGCUCCAUUCGGACCUCCCAUUUUUCUACCCACAAACACCCCUCCCCAUGGAAUAGUCUGUGCCAGGCUAAGCAGGGCACAGUGCUUGGGCCAAAGGCACACAGAGGAAGUCCCCCCUGGAAAACCUUGGAAGAAAGAAAUGGAUGGCCCCAGAGGACACAGCGAUGAUGCUGACAAUGGACAGAAAACUGCUCAGCUGAGAAAGGAAGAGACCCAAGGGAGUUACUGGAGUUUCAGAGAUCAUAUGAAGAGCUGUGCUUAAGACCGGAAGUUCUGGAGCCAGGCUGUAUGUCAAAGUGCCAACCCUGGACCAUGGUUGGGAGGUCACAGUGAGUCACCUUCUGGCUCAGCAGAAGAAUUUUCUGAUGCUCUAAUAGCUGGUCAAAAGUGGAAUAGAGUUGCCUGGGUCUGGCUCUAUUGCCCAGGCUGGAAUGCAAUGGCGUGCUCUCAGCUCACUGCAACCUCUGCCUCCCAGGCUCCAAUGAUCCUCCCACCUCCGCCUCCCAAGUAGCUGGGACUACAGGCGCAUGUUACCAUGCCUGGCUAAUUUUUUGAAUUUUUUGGUAGAGACAGGGUUUCACUAUGUUGCCCAGGCUAGUCUUGAAGUCCUGGGCUCAAGCAAUCCUCCCACCUCGGCCUCCCAAAGUGCUGGGAUUACAGGUGUGAGCCACCAUGCUGGGGCAAGCCUACUAAUUCGUAUUUCAAGAAGCAAGUGCUAGCGUGUUGUAUGGUUACGUGUACCGCUGAUGAACUCAUGGCAGUAGUAGUGCCAGACUGGGACAAAUGAUGCUGAGGAAAGAGAAAACCCUGGUCAGGCUGGUGGUGUUCACCCCAUCACCCCCACCACCCCAAAAGACAGACAGAUGGACGGGCAAACAUUUUCUCUCCCUCUUACAUAUUGAGUUGCCCCAAACAUCACUACUCUAAUUAUGAACAGAUGCAUGCAGAUUCCUUAAAAUUGGCAGGUCCCACCUCCUGGCAGUGAACCCACACACGGAACUAUUAGACUGGGAUGGAAGACAAUAGGUUGGGAUUGAGGGGGAAUGGUAGGAGAAGGAAGGGGGAGCAGGUCCGGCUUCAGCCCUGGCCAGUGAUACGAGCCCAUCUCCUGCUGUGUUCAACUGGAAACAGGGAAAUGGUUGUGCUGAUGUAUCCAUUCUCAAACUCCCCAGAGAAGGUGGAUAAUAAAUAAGUGACAAUAACAGAUUGCACACUGUCAGCGCGGGCACUUCUUUGCCCCCAGAGAAUUGAUUUUUAAUAACAGCGCAGAUGACAUGUGGCGGGAGUUGUCACUGACACCGGUGUUUUGUGGGCCUCAAUAAAUCACAUCAGCCUGGAGGCUCUGAAAUGGACUAGCUUGUUGGGUGCUGUUUGUGGAUUGCUACUCGGCCCUGGAAUGGCUCCCGGGUCCCAGGAGGCUGGAUUCUGCAACCUACUGACUGCUAGACCUUGGCCAGUUACUUCACCAGUCUGGGCCUCAGUUUCUCCAUGUUUAAAAUGGGCAGAACUGUCUUGGUCUCACAGCAGUGUUGCAAAAGGUUAGACGAAGAAAACUGUCCCAUAAAAUAUGUUGAUCACUAUUAUAGUAAUAAUGAUCUAGAAAGUCAGGAAGUUGAUAGGUUUGGGGGCGGAGUAUCUGGCAUCUCUGUUUUCAUGAAUAGCAUUCAAGGGUGAUAUUCAAAGGACCAAAGGAAUUCAAAGGAAUGUGCUAAUAAAAUAGAAGCAAGAUGGGAAGGCACAAAAAUCAGGUGUUAAUCAGGCCCAGGAUUGGGGGUGGUGGUGGGGUGCCUUCCUGCCCUAGCAAGCUGUGAUAUAAGAAUAAUAACAAGUGAAUAUUUGUUAAGCAUUUACAGUGCCAGAGCUGCACUAAGUACUUCAUAUACAGUAUCUCAUUUAAUCCUCAUAAGACCCUGUGAGGCAAUUACCAUAAUUAUCUGAUUUUAUGGAUGAGAAGACACUCAGCUACCCAUGUGUAGGACAGGGCCAGGCAGGCGAGGAGAGUGGGCCGGCUGUGGAGGCUGCAGCCUGCACAACUCUGUUUAAAGGGGCAGGGCUGCUCAGCCAUGCAGGAAUGCAGGGGUAGGGCCCUGGUACGGCCAGGUCUCUCAAUUUUCCAAAAGAAUAUAGAGAGUGGGAUUUGUGGAAGAAAUCUGAUAUUUAAAUGUUGACAGCUUAUUAAGCUUUGUGUUCUUAAAAAGACACUCUAUGAGCCAACCCCACAAUUGCUAACUAAUAGCUGUCUGUGAGCUGGACGGGGGCCCUGGGUUUCCAGCUUGUGAUCUCUGGGGUAGGAGCUGUUUCCAUGCAGAGGUUCACCAUGCUGCAUUGCCCCUCUGAGGAAACAACUGUCAACAGAAUGAUCAUCGAAACGUGGCUAUGACCACACACUAUGCUCAAUACUAGAGGGUAGAAUACAAUUGCAUAUCCUAAUCCUCACAAAGGAGGUGCUAUUGAUCCCAUUUUACACAUAAAGAAGCAGAAAGUUGAAGGGGCUCAGUGAUUUGCUCAAGGUUCCACAGUGGUAGUGCGCUGGACCCUGGGAAUGGCAGACUCUCAAAGGUAGCUCUCUCUACUCCACUGAGCA